CAUCUGCUUGCUUUAAUGGGCGCACACACUGAACAUUCAGGUCUGGAGCAGGAGUUACCAUGGAAAUGGGGCGGAAACUCAACUGUCGAGCAGCAAAACACGUCUUCCACUGUUGUUUUCACAAAUGUCAGAAAUGGUUUAUUGUCUUCAGAAAAAGUCUGUUAGCGUCUAAACCACAAUGCUAACUAUAAGAGGUUUUGCAGGCAAUUUGUCAUUGGAUGAAAGGAAGUAAGCUAAUUUAUUUAACCUAGAAGUAUGCAAUAUACGGUUAAUCGGAUACAAAAUUAACAUGGAGCGUGAAAAUGAGCUGAAAGUACUUUGAACAUGUUUUGACCUUUCAUGGUAAACAAAUAUUGAUUCCACUUGUCCUGUGACUUCAGCAGUUUCAGAAAAAAAACUUCUACGACACAGGAAAAGUUCCUGAUUUUAACAUUUCUGAAGGGAGCUGCUGACAGAGAUAUAAAAA